GUUUACAUACAUUACCGAAGAUCGAUAAAUAUGGGUGGAAGAAGAAUAAGAGAGGUCAAACGAAAUGCAAGGACAUUCAACUCAAAAUUCGUCGACACUGUUUUCCACAAAGACAUGAUAUUACAUAUUUCCAAGAACACCUCAAACAACGUCUAAUAUCAUUCGGUUAUAAAAAUAGAUUAAUGCAGUGUAUAUGUAUGUUCGUUUGGGGAAAGACGAAUACAACGAGCGAAAUACUUGCUGCACGUGUUACGAUCGAUGGAAGACUUCGCUAAAACGAUAGGUGCGCCAAAGGGAAUCGAGCGAAUGAACUAUUUCGUACAAAUAAAUGAUCACUCAUUCAUAAAUAAGAUUUAAAGAAUGACGAUAAGGCACGAACAGAAAAUUUCACCGAAAACGAACCCCUAUUUUGUCAAAUUUUUCGACAAGUAUCAGUCAGCACGUCCACGAGUCGAUGUUUCGAGAGGAAGGAAAGACGAAACAGGAUGCGAUGAUAGAGGGGAUAAAAUUACCGGCCCUUGCACACGUUGUACGAUACCGGCGGAAAUUGGAUGCUGUAGGAUGAAGUAUAGAGGAAACAAAGAGCGUGCGAAAUGGGAAAAUUUGGGAGUUUAUCCGGACGUGAGCACGAUACGAUUUCGUUUGGCACUGUCCCACAGAACACACGGUAACCCCGUAUCGAUCGACGGAUUCCCAGCGCCUUCCUAUUUUCAGCACUGCAUUGCGGCAGAAGCUAGGUUACGGCGGCCCUUCUCCCGUAUUUUACAAGCCUUUUCCGCCUCUCUCGGUGAUCUGAAUCGACGCGCACGUGCGUGCCUUACCGUAUACCGGUGUAGUAAGGUCAGGCUACGCGUUUAAUCGAGAUCCGUCGCUUCGUGUACGCGGUUUGUUGUAAAAAUUGAUAAUACUCACAAUAUAGACCUCUGCAGGACGAACAUUUCGCUCCUCGCGUGCUUACAGCUGAUCGCCUCCCACCCGACAGGAUCACCGCGCGACUGCGCGUUUUCGGCUAAUCGUGUUCUUACUUGCUUGCUUACCAAUGCUGACCCGCUUGCCUGCGCUCGCCGCCGCCGCCGCUCUGUCUACUCUCGCACAGCUUCUUCCCUUUCGACUUCAAGUUCGUCCAUAUAGCCGGUUACGCAUACGCACGGCUGCUCCUUCAGGCGAUACACCGCACUGCACACGCGCGCGAUUCACGGUAUACAAUCUGCUGUCUUUCUACACGUCGAUCGCACACCUUUCUUCCUUGCCAACCUCUUCACGUUUCCGCGUGCUCUGCGGACGUUAACUGUACUGUACGAGCAACACAGUGUAAGUGAAUCGAUGUAAGAGCACAUAUGUACCUCGCCUGUGGCGAGGGGCAAUCAAACGUCACGAGAACACCCGAAUUCUCCCGAUCAGCGACUCUCACGUAUUUGUUCUCUGAUAGCAUAUCGCAAGAAGCGUCGCGACGCUCUGGCAAUCGACCUAAUUUCUUUUAUAUAUUGAAUUGAUUAAGAAUUUCCGAAGCGCAUUUUCGAAUGCGCAAGAAAGGAACUUUAGAGAACUGCAGGUGUUUUCUGUGUUUGUCACAGCUACAACUAAGUUGUAACAAGAUUUUCUCUAGUUGAUUUUUGAGAAAAUUCGUCGAGCUGAGAAUUAGGCAUUUGUUUUGAGUAUUUUUUCUAAUAAGCAGAGAAGAAGAAGGGAUUUUUAAUUUUAGAUGUUACUUAUUACGGAUAAUUUUAUAUUUAUUUGUCUGUUUCUUGCGAACGACGGAUAAUACCACCUGCGACACCACGAACUUUGAAAUGCAGGUAACAUCUGUGAUACGUGGAAUGAAUAUCAAAAUACAGGCGCUUGCCGCGGUGUGCCGCUACGUGUUUAGGUGAAAAUGGUCUAUUUCUGUAUGAGGAAUAACGAGGGUAUCUUAUCUACGAUAACAUCGCAUGAUAACAAAUUUAUCAAAUAAUUUAAAAAUAAACAUUGGUGUUUUAAUUGUUUGUUCGAUCAAUUAAAUAUCGUAAUAGUAUCUAUAAAGCUUAUCACUCACACUGAUGAUUUAAUUGAAGAAAUUCCGUUUUUACAUUAUUUAUCAGAAGAUCUAUUUUAUCGUCUUUGAGGUAUUAUCACACGAAUAUAAUAUUUAAAAAAAAAAGGACAUCUUUGGUCGUUCUUUCGCAAAAAUGUCUUCGGAAAUCGAAAAUAAAGAACGUGAUUCGUUUCUUUAAAUAAACCAACGAUACCCGGACACGGACAUUAGCUGCAUAAAAAAGUACGUUGAAUCUAACGCAUUUUAUUCUGACGCAAACGGGACGCGCUCUAAAAUAAAAAUAAAAUGUUAAGGAGAUUUAAUGGCGACAAACCUUUUUUUUUUAGUGUAGCCCACCCGCACGCGUUUUAUCCCAGUUACAUCUAUGUGCAUCUGGCAAGUGACCAAUGCCGUUAGAAAAACGGAAGGCUUUCAGCACGUCCUUUGUAGGUUAUUUUCACCUUUCGUACUUGAAAAAAUAAUUUUGUUAAAGAAUAGUGACGUUUUACCGUUGUACGAGAGCUUGCACACCGUUUGUCCGCGUUCUAAUUGCUACAGAUAAUUAUCUCAAACAAUUUCACUCGGACGUUUAUACAACGUGAACAGAGUAUUCUCAUUUCAUAGCACUUUAAGCUCAAGUGGUGAGAUCUUUCCGUGGUUAACGAUCUUGCAAAGUUAUGGAGGAAAUUAACCAGCGUCUCUAGGACCAUAGUGGUUUGUUUUCAACGUGAAAAGAACACCGUAAAGCGAACAGGCAAUGUAGCACGUGAAAUUGAUGAACAGGUUUUCGUGGUAAAUCUACAAAGCAGUUCUCUACGUGGCGAACAUCUGCGGAGUUCCUGUGUAUUCGAUAUUCUGGUCGAUUAGCGUAUUCGAUAUAGACAGCUAACGUGAUGGCUAGUAUAAGUAAGGUCGUUUCGCUGCAAACUUUUACGAAUGCGAUAUACGUAUCCGCGUUCUUCAAAUACAAAUACACAGUUGUGAAUGCGGUUAAUAAAGCGGAUGACAUAAUGUUGAAGAAUUUGUUGCGCAAAUUUAUUGUGUAAUGACAUAAAUCUUCUGCGUUGAAAGUGAAGAUUCAGAUCUCUUCACCUGUGACACUGUGCUAUUUGCGUGUGAUAUCAAAGGCCAAAAAUGAAAAAUAAAAUAAGAUCGUGUAGGGUCAAAGGAUUAAAGUAAAUUCUUUUUAUAGUUUACACGACAAGGUAAAUUCUUAAUAUUACAGGUAUGUUAUUACUUUCAUAUCUCUUUUUAAUAAAGUUUUUUUUAUGCGGAAUAUGUAUGAAUUAUUUUGUUAAUUAAAACUGAACGAAGAUUACUUGGAAUAGGAGAAAAAGAAAGAUUGCGGUCAUUUGAAAGCAAUUUAAAAUAAGAGCUUUUAUUAUGUAUUGACACUAUAUGUAUCACUCCAAAGUAACUUUUUAUCCUAAUUAAUUGUUUAAACAGAUGACAACAAAAAUUAUGUUUUAAUUACGUUUGACACAACUGUUCCGUGUCUUUAUGAAAUUUCUGAUAUCUGAAACGAAAACAGAGCAGCAUAUCUUAAGAUUGGUAGUUUCCACAUGUAAAGAACAAAGUAAACAGUUAAAGAUAUGCAUUAAUCGAAUGUACAAAAAAAAAAAAAAAAAAAAAAAAAAAAAAAAAAAAAAAAAAAAAAAAAAACAAACAUGCAAAGAAAUUCUUAAUAAUGUCAGUUCCAUUUAGGAAUAUAUUUGUAAAAACUAGAUUUUUGAAAAUAAAUACAGCUAGUUACGUAUAUAGCUAUAUUUCAUGUAUUUUUAUUUUCAGUAUAUAUAUUUGACUUGC